GACGAACGCUGGCGGCGUGCCUAAUACAUGCAAGUAGAACGCUGAAGGAGGAGCUUGCUUCUCUGGAUGAGUUGCGAACGGGUGAGUAACGCGUAGGUAACCUGCCUGGUAGCGGGGGAUAACUAUUGGAAACGAUAGCUAAUACCGCAUAAGAGUAGAUGUUGCAUGACAUUUGCUUAAAAGGUGCAAUUGCCUCACUACCAGAUGGACCUGCGUUGUAUUAGCUAGUUGGUGGGGUAACGGCUCACCAAGGCGACGAUACAUAGCCGACCUGAGAGGGUGAUCGGCCACGCUGGGACUGAGACACGGCCCAGACUCCUACGGGAGGCAGCAGUAGGGAAUCUUCGGCAAUGGACGGAAGUCUGACCGAGCAACGCCGCGUGAGUGAAGAAGGUUUUCGGAUCGUAAAGCUCUGUUGUAAGAGAAGAACGAGUGUGAGAGUGGAAAGUUCACACUGUGACGGUAUCUUACCAGAAAGGGACGGCUAACUACGUG
rnacentral:rRNA from 1 species